rnacentral:lncRNA from 10 species
CUUGCCCAAAUGCUAAAAACUGGAACCCCCUACCUCAACUGCUCUCUCAGUAUUCUGAGAGCUCUCAGUGUCAGGUUUCACUGUUCCUCCCUCCUCCACUCCCCAGGUCUCUGUCUUCCUCUGCGCUGUCAUGACCUUCGGGGCUGGGCUGCUGUGAUCAUCCCUGCCACCUUCCAGAGACCACUCUCAUACCCUCUGCUUGAUCUCAGAAAAUAGACCUCUGCCCUCCUGUUUUCCAGCUUGUCUGAACUGUAUGUAGCACAGGCCCUUCCAUAAUUCCCCGUAAUACAACUGAGGCCAACCACGUUGCCUGUCCUGAGAAAACUCAAAGACAAUGGUGCCAAGGAAGAACAGAAUUUCAUAAAUGAAGAAUGACAGAUGGCACUAAGAGUUCAAGUAAGAAAUUGUAGUGUGACAAAGGCUACCAGACUGACUAAAACAUCUCCUAGCCUCGUUUGCAGCUAGCUGUGAUCAAGCAAUAAAGCUCUGUCAAUGGGGUGUGAGCAGAAACACAACUUGCAGAUGAUGCUCUUGCAAGGAAGGAAAAUUCUCUCCCCUUCACCUUCCCUCCUUCCCAUUGCCUGGAAUACAGACACAGUGGUAAGACAUCUUGGAACAUUUGGAUGGGAAACACCCUACACAUGGCAGAGCACUAAAACAAAAGGAACCUGGAGCCUCUGUCCUCUUGCUGUCACCAUUCAAGUCCUGGACUGCAAAUAUACAGACUGUCACAUCAGAAAAAACUUCCCGUCUUGUUAGAGCCACUCCUAUUUGGCAUGUUUAUUGAAGAAAUGAACUGGUAUUCUAAUGAAUGGAGGAAUGAGAAGAUCCGAGUGAGGGAUUAGAAAGAUGCUAUUGGUGAUGGUAGAGAAAAGAAAAUAGAGCCAGAUAAAUUAGGAGGGAGAUCACCUAGCUGCCAAGUAAUGGGUUAUUUUUCAGAGGUUUUGAAUGUUGGCAAAUCUUUAAGUCUUACCUGGUCUGUGGACUCUUACAAGAAGUUUGAAUUCCAUAGUCAAAUUAGGAACACACUGACUUAAACAUAAUUCUUUAUUAUAGGUAGUACAAGUGUUUUCAGCACUAAAAGAUUUUAUGCCUCUUAAAAGAGAGGGCUGAAAAUAAAGUAUUCCUCAUACUUAUCUGAAAAUGAGACCUUUCAUCUAAAACUAGUGUUCAUGGCCACUAGAGGACACAUGAUCCAAUGCCUAUGGGAUUUAAAGACGUCUCCCAGCCCUCUUAGAAAUUUGUAACCUGCAGUAACACCCAAAUAGUCAACAAAGCAAUUCACAAAGGUAUUUGUCAGAUAGGAUGAAAUAGACAUGUGUGCAUGACACAUACACACCCUUUUCCAAACCAGAGCCAAAAGUUGCAGAUACACCAGAAACCAUGCGGUAUCAAUUUUCCCCUCUAAAGAGUUCAGCUUUGUUUUUGUUCCAAGGUGUGAAUGAAUAGCACAAGGACUGAAAAGGAUAACAGUUCCUACCUUGAUUCCACUUGAAGAUCUUCAUGAAGAAAGUCCUUGCUGGAACCUGAGCAGACUGAAUACUAAUUUCUCUUAGCAAGACAUUACACUGCAUGGUGGAUGGCCUUCUUGCUCAGGAAGUUCAUGACAAUCCAAGAGGCAAAAUGAAAGGAGGCAGAACAGAGCAUGUAAAGUCAGAAUCUUGUGACUUUGGCCCUGAGAGUGUUUGAUCUGGCAGGAACUAUUUUCCAUGAGUAACCGAGUCCUGUAUAGCACUUAUGGGAUCAAAUGGCAGUAUAAAUUGGAUCAACAGUUAAUGUCUUAAUUCUCUCCAUGACCAAUGUGAGGAAAAGUAAUUCUAUUUAAAUCCUUCAUAGAAAAAUACUUCAUGCAGAAUCCUGGGGGGAAAAGAAUUAAAAAUUGUGAUCUCAUGUCAAAUAUUCCUGCAGUUUUCUCAACAGUACAGUUAAUCCUUUGGGCUGGCAAAAGCAGGUUUUCUUUCAUUAUUUUGGUCUGUAUUGGCAACGAAGUUAUUAGGUGCAAAAGAAACACACACAGAGAUGUCACACCACACUUGACACUGUCACUGUGGUGACAAGGUUUUCUCCAGCUGUCAGUGUCAGAAGGAUUUCAUUCUGUUUGAUGCCACACGGUUUUGUGGUGAGAAGUGGCAGGCAAGCCCUUUUAUUCCUUGUAAUGUCUUCAUUAAUAAUAGCAGUCAUCAAUUACCAGAGAAAAGGAGUACAAAAUAAAUUGUAAACAUUAUAACCUGGGGUCUUUA